AUGCCUUAAACUAAUGAGUAAGGAAAAUAGCAGAUCGGUUUGAUUACCGGUCCCUAGCUAAGUUCUAGACCAUUUUUUGCGGGGUACAGGCUGUCCUGCUGUGUCCCCUACUUCAGGGAUGUAGCGGCGUUAGCGGCCUACCCU
rnacentral:snRNA from 1 species